rnacentral:rRNA from 1 species
CGCGGGCCGCGCCAUCGGUUGGCUUGCUUUUCGGAGCACUGCUGAGGCGCGGACCUAGAGNCCACACGUUGGGACCCGAAAGAUGGUGAACUAUGCCCGGCCAGGAUGAAGCCAGAGGAAACUCUGGUGGAGGUCCGCCGCGAUUCUGACGUGCAAAUCGAUCGUCUGAGCUGGGUAUAGGGGCGAAAGACCAAUCGAACCAUCUAGUAGCUGGUUCCGCCCGAAGUYUCCCUCAGGAUAGCUGGCGCUCGUGUGAUACGGAGUUUCAUCCGGUAAAGCGAAUGAUCAGAGGAGCUGGGCUCCUUGCGAGCUCAACCUAUUCUCAAACUUUCAAUGGGUGAGACGUCUCGCUGGCUUCACUGCAGCGACGACUCUGAAUCCGAGUGCCCAGUGGGCCACUUUUGGUAAGCAGAACUGGCGAUGCGGGAUGAACCGCAUGUCGAGUUAAGGUGCCCAAGCGGACGCAAAUCAGAUACCAUGAAAGGUGUUGAUUGCUCACGACAGCAGGACGGUGGCCAUGGAAGUCGGCAUCCGCUAAGGAGUGUGUAACAACUCACCUGCCGAAGCAAUCAGCCCUGAAAAUGGAUGGCGCUAAAGCGUCCCACCGAUACUCGACCGUCGUCGGCACGCAAUCGGGUCGCAAUUGCGAUCGGAUCUGACGCCACGACGAGUAGGGCGGCGCGGCGGUGAGCUUUGAAGGCGUAGCCGUGAGGCUAGCUGGAGCCGCCGUCGGUGCAGAUCUUGGUGGUAGUAGCAAAUACACAAGCAAGAUCCUUGUGGACCGAUGUGGAGAAGGGUUCCGCGCGAACAGUAUUUGGACGUGGGUGAGUCGGCCCUAAGCCAACGGGUAAUUCCCGCAUCCCGUGUUAAUCUCACACCAAAGCAGAGCAACAUGGGUUCCCC